GACUACAAGCUUGCCAGACCAAUCGUCCUUAUCAAAACCGUAGGGCAAGCUUAAACAAACUCACGGCUUGCGACAACAAUGCCUUCCAAAACUUAAAACCCACUAACCACUAGGGCGUCAACAAUCACAAUAACAAGAUUUGAAGCCUGAGAUAGCCAGUGGAGAAUGAGUGGUUUUAGGUUUGAUUGAGAGUGGGAAGGAGACAUGAAGGGGAGGAGUUCUUGUGAGUGUUGAGGAAAAUCUUUGGCGAUGCUCUUGCUGAGCUUCUUCAUCGAGAGUUUGGUUUUGAUCCAAUGGUUUUGCAGUUUUGCAUCAGCUUCUUUUAUUCUCAUGGAAUUGCAUAGACUUGGUUCUUGAUUUGGUGACGGUGCAUUGGAUACUCAUAGGGCGAGGAGGCGGUUAGCUUUGUCUUAAAUGAGAUAACAACACAGUCUGCAUGCUUUUGUCGCCGUCCGGUCAACAGCAGUGUACAUGAAAUCCCCACCGGAGUUUUCACAAGAUCAUCUUAUUCAAAGGGGACUUGAAGUGAUUUAGGUAUGGAUGUGAUAUACAGGCUUUAAGAUGGUACCCUGCUUUUAUGGAGAUUAAGAAUGUAUGGACACCUUGAUUUGGAGUGGAUUUUAAUAUUUUUUAUUAGCAAAUAGGACAAGCUAUUGCACACACCUAGGGUGGUAAUAUGUUAAGGAAAAAAUAUAAUUAAUAGAUAUGUAAAACCAGCUACAUGUUUAAUGUUUACUAAAUUUCUCCAAUAAACAAAAAAGAAUAAAACACUUAAGUCAAACACUUAUAUGUUUUGCAUGAACAUGAAAUAGCUCAAGCAGUAGUCACCAUCUUGAUCUUCUUAGAAGAAGAAGAAGAAGCAUAACCAUCAUAAAGCCAAGUCUUAAGUCCAUAAAUAACAAUCUAAUCACCCUUAUACUUAAAAAGACAAACAUAAAGCUUCACCUUAAUUUCAAUCAACCAACAAACCACUUCACAGAUGUAUAAUAAACCUUUGCGUCAUUAUUAUACUUUGAAGAACAUUUCAAGAAGAAGAUCGAAGAAGAAGAACCAUCAUAAAGCCAAGCCUAAUUAAGUUAGUAUAUAACAAUCUCACCCUUACACUACCUAAGAAGACAAACACAAAGCUUUUCCUUUCAAUCAACCAAUAAACCAUUUACAGAAGUAUAAACCUUCGCAUCAUUAUUAUAACUUUGAAGAAGAAGCUAACCAUUAAAUUAACUUGGUUUUAGAAAAUAUUAUAGCUUUCAUGUCAUUGUGUAUGACUCAACUCUUAUGUUAGAUACUUUAAAUUUUGAUUAAUGAUGAGUUGGUAUUGAAGUAAUUAAAAUUUUUAGGGCAAACAUUGGGAGCAUGUGAUCUCAUCUUGAAGAGGAAAAAAAAAUAAAGAAAAAUAAAGAAGAAAAAGCGAAGGAAAAUCAAAAGAAAAGAUUUUGAGUUAGUCAUGAAAGAUUAUGACACAAAUUAGGUGUAGGAUAUCAUAAAUUUUAAAUAUAAUCAAAUAUGAUUUUUUCCCCAGAAGCUGAAUUAUUAGUUCUAGCUUUGCAUUGUGUUUUUUAGAUUUUUUUUUAAUUUUAAAUCAAUAUAUCAAUUAAAAUAAAAAUAAAAAAUGAAACUAACAAACCAUAGCCACUUGUCAUCCAUCUUAA